rnacentral:misc_RNA from 1 species
AACGCACAUUGCGCCCGCCGGCAUUCCGGCGGGCAUGCCUGUUCGAGCGUCAUUUCAACCCUCAGGCACCGCCUGGUGUUGGGAUCCCACCGCGCUGGUGGGCCCCGAAAUACAGCGGCGAGCGUCCCCUGGACCCGAGCGUAGUAGCAUACCUCGCUAAGGGCGCCGGGAGCGUUUCCAGCCGUUAAACCCCCAAUUUACAAGGUUGACCUCGGAUCAGGUAGGAAUACCCGCUGAACUUAA